CAAUAUGGAGUGGGUUUCAAUAUUUUAUAUUUCUUAUAAAAUAAAUAAUAAUGAAAAAAUAAAGAGGUGAAAGGCACUUAACACCAAUGGUCUCGCCAUUGCAAAGCUGUUACCAAUGAUGGGUUAAAUAAAGACGAAACAUUUAUUGAAUAGAUUUGUAAGUUAUUUGUUAGUUAACAUUUUAAUGUUGUACAAAGAAAAUUUAAUAUAUGAACAUAUUGUAUUACAUAAAUUUCAUUAUUUUUAAUAUACUAUCAUGAUCACAAUUAUUUUAAAGAAAAGAGAAAUGGUGAUGCAUUAUAAGAGAAAAAUUAUAACUGCAAGCUAAACAAAUUAUUGCAAUUACAAUAUGAAACGUUCACUGAAAUGUUCACCAUGUAUAUUGUAUAAUAUGAGGCAAUAUACAUAUUACAAUAGUAAACUUAAGACAACAAAAUAACUAAACAAAAUAAAAUGUUAAAACUUGAAGCAAGUUUAUUUGUAUAACUAUAGUGUAAACUAAGUAAUAGUAGUAGCAAUAGUAGUAAUUAAACUGUAUUUAAGUAAUGUUAUUAUUUUAAAAUUUUAAUCUAUAAUAUUGACUAUCAAAUUAAAAAAUAAUGAUUAACGAUAUUAUGCAUGAUACGCCAUGGUUUUGAUGACAAGAACAUUUAGAUUAAAAAAUCUACCACUUCAUUGAUACCCUUAUCUCGUACCUCCCACUCUCAGACUUUACUGCAUACGAAUGCUUACAGCGCUACCGGUGUUUUUUUGGAGUAUUAAUGACAUAUUUUUGUAUGUGGUUCUUCGUUUCUGUGAUAAGGCAACUCUUGUAAUAAUAAUAUGAUAGUGGGUUACUGAUAAGACGCUGACGCUAGUGACGCUAAUAUUAAAAUGGAGCACCAACCAGAACAAAGUUACGAAAAUGUUUAAUGCCACGUAGGUCGUCGGUGUUGAAGUCGGGCACUGUCGCCUUGAGAGCCGAGACUACAAGUUUAGCGUGACGCCAUUUUUUUUUACAAAUUUUAGGUUAAUAAUUGUUAUGUCAACCAACUACAGGUCACAGGAUGAAGUUUGGAGGUACAUUAUUUAAGCGAACUCCAAAUAAAUAGAUGGUCAAAAACACGUGCACAAGAUCGAUCUGCUUUUGAAAUCAGAACCAUUGUCGUGAUGAAUGUAUAACUGUUAUUGUAUAUUUUUUAAUUUGUAAUCAUAUUAUAUUAUUUUGGUGUCAAUAAAAAUUAUUAACAGUUAACCUAUUGUUUUUAUUAUUUAUUUCGGCACCGCGGAGCUACGUCGUCCGACUGCUGUCCGCUGUGCACGCUGCCCUGUCUCGCGAGCCUUGUAUCGUAUUUCGAAUAGAAAAACCAUACGCCGCGGACAGUUUCGACACCUAACCUAACCGAUCGCGGUACAAAGGCUCAACAUUCGCUGACCACGAUCUGCCGACAAAAUUCCCGAGUUGGACCGAGGUGCGCUCAUGGACCAUGGUCGUGACUCUGAACCGUGCAAAUCGACUUUGGUCGGAGACUCGCCGCAACGCGCCGGCGGGAAAAUUGUUUCGUCUCACCGCGUCGUCGCGGUGGAGGUAAAUCGUGUCCGGCCGCUUUCUAUCUCCGACGCCACCGCGCUGCAGUCUGCCCACCGUCGAAAAGAUUCCAAAGAAGUUACGUUUUAACUGUUUAUGCUGACAAAACACCUACUGCGCAGUAAUAAAAAAAUUAUAUAUUUGCCUUCAGGAGCUGUAACGCAUUGCCCGGUGUGGGGUGGGUGGGGGUAAGUGUAGGUCACAAUGGUCACAUAGAUAUAGCGUUUUUUCUUCUCGAAAAUCUUUUGACGCUUGUCCGGUUUCAUUGGCAAAUUAUUAGCAAUUGACAUUCGUUGAAAAUUUAACAGGACGCAGUCCAAACACAAAACCCCAAAGAAUUCUACCCGGAAAAUGGCAAUGGGGACGAGACAAACAGAUAUAGGCUGAAUGAAGUUACAGGCAUUGGAUUAAGUCCAAAAGUGUUUUUGUUAUACUUUAGGACAUUGGAAUACACCUAUGUAGAAGUGGCAAAAUAUACAGAAUACAUAUAAUAUAUUAUAGGGCAGUGUUCGGAACGUCCAAGUUUUUUGAAAAAAUUGAAUGCGUUCGCUGGGUCUUAUUAAACGGUAAAUUAAUUUAGCAAUUCAUAUUCAUUAAAAUAUAAACGUCGUUCACACUCACAUUCAAUUUGAAAUAAAACGAGUAAUGUCCGAGUAUUGUUCACUAGAUAUAAACGUGAACGUGCUUUCAUGAACGACGAUUCCAUCCAAACACUGCCAACAGGCUGGUUUUAGAAUAGCUGUAUUGAACAUUUUAAAAUAAAGUGCCUUUUAUGGUUAAAUAGUAUUAAUAUUAUAUAAUAUUAAAUUAUACUUUAUAAUGUUUUGAAUGAUUUAUUUUAUUAGACGAUAGUUUUAAUUUUAUUAUUACAAAUUUAGAUUAAUAUGUAAUUGACCAGAGAUCCUGGUUGGACAUGAUACUUAUAGCAUACAAUUAAUAAAUAAUUAGAAAUUAAUUAAAUAAAGGAUGUAUACAUUUAAUUUUUGAGAGACUUUUUGAAUUACAUUUAU